CCUACGGGUGGCAGCAGUUGGGAAUAUUGCACAAUGGGCGAAAGCCUGAUGCAGCAACGCCGCGUGAGCGAUGAAGGCCUUCGGGUCGUAAAGCUCUGUGCUCAAGGAAGAUAAUGACGGUACGUGAGGAGGAAGCCCCGGCUAACUACGUGCCAGCAGCCGCGGUAAUACGUCUGGGGCUAGCGUUAUCCGGAAUUACUGGGCGUAAAGGGGGCGUAGGUGGGUUCUUAAGUCAGAGGUGAAAGGCUACGGCUCAACCGUAGUAAGCCUUUGAAACUGGGGAACUUGAGUGCAGGAGAGGAGAGUGGAAUUCGUAGUGUAGCGGUGAAAUGCGUAGAUAUCAGGAGGAACACCGGUGGCGAAGGCAGCCUGCUGGACUGCAACUGACGUUGAGGCCCGAAAGCGUGGGGAGCAAACAGGAUUAGAUACCCCUGUAGUC
rnacentral:rRNA from 1 species